GGGGGUGCCGGGAAAGCCCUGACGGCGAGGGAUGGGCCCGCGGCCUGUUAGCUUGUUGGCGGGGUAACGGCCCACCAAGGCGAUUAUGGGUAGCCGGGUUGAGAGACCGACCGGCCAGAUUGGGACUGAGACACGGCCCAGACUCCUACGGGAGGCAGCAGUGGGGAAUCUUGCACAAUGGGCGAAAGCCUGAUGCAGCGACGCCGCGUGCGGGACGAAGGCCUUCGGGUUGUAAACCGCUUUCAGCAGGGACGAGGCCGCAAGGUGACGGUACCUGCAGAAGAAGCCCCGGCUAACUACGUGCCAGCAGCCGCGGUAAUACGUAGGGGGCGAGCGUUAUCCGGAUUCAUUGGGCGUAAAGCGCGCGUAGGCGGCCUGCUAGGUCGGGACUCAAAUCCGGGGGCUCAACCCCCGCCCGGUCCCGAUACCGACAGGCUUGAGUCUGGUAGGGGAAGGCGGAAUUCCAAGUGUAGCGGUGGAAUGCGCAGAUAUUUGGAAGAACACCGGUGGCGAAGGCGGCCUUCUGGGCCACGACUGACGCUGAGGCGCGAAAGCUAGGGGAGCGAACAGGAUUAGAUACCCUGGUAGUCCUAGCCGUAAACGAUGGACACUAGGUGUGGGGGGAUGUGCCCUCCGUGCCGCAGCCAACGCAUUAAGUGUC
rnacentral:rRNA from 1 species